CCUACGGGUGGCUGCAGUGGGGAAUAUUGGACAAUGGGGGCAACCCUGAUCCAGCCAUGCCGCGUGUGUGAAGAAGGCCCUCGGGUUGUAAAGCACUUUCAGUGAGGAAGAACGCCUGGUGGUUAAUACCCAUCAGGAAAGACAUCACUCACAGAAGAAGCACCGGCUAACUCCGUGCCAGCAGCCGCGGUAAUACGGAGGGUGCGAGCGUUAAUCGGAAUUACUGGGCGUAAAGCGCGCGUAGGUGGCUUGAUAAGCCGGUUGUGAAAGCCCCGGGCUAAACCUGGGAACGGCAUCCGGAACUGUCAAGCUAGAGUGCAGGAGAGGAAGGUAGAAUUCCCGGUGUAGCGGUGAAAUGCGUAGAGAUCGGGAGGAAUACCAGUGGCGAAGGCGGCCUUCUGGACUAACACUGACACUGAGGUGCGAAAGCGUGGGUAGCAAACAGGAUUAGAUACCCGAGUAGUC
rnacentral:rRNA from 1 species